ensembl:Mt_tRNA
GAGAUAUUAGUAAAAUUCAUUACAUAACUUUGUCAAAGUUAAAUUAUAGACUAAUCUCUAUAUAUCUUA